rnacentral:ncRNA from 1 species
AUCUUCAGGGCGGGGUGCAAUUCCCCACCGGCGGUGACGGAUGGUUUUCAUCCCCAGUCCGCGAACGCGCAAGCGCCGAACCGGUGCGACUCCGGUACCGACAGUACAGUCUGGAUGGAAGAAGAU